rnacentral:tRNA from 1 species
GGGCCCAUAGCUCAGUCUGGAAGAGCCGCCGGCUCAUAACCGGGAGGUCCCUGGUUCGAAUCCAGGUGGGCCCA